rnacentral:lncRNA from 1 species
CGUGCAGUGGCCCACAUGAUCCAAUGGAUGGUUGAGUCAGAUCAUGCUGUUCUGCUUUGAGGUAUUACCACUUAGAAUAGAGUCACAGCCCUCAUGAUGGUCUACAAAGCCCUGUGAGAUCUGGCAUCAAGUGGUCCUGGCUUUCCAUCCCAGCUGCAGCCCCUUGGUCACUGAUCCUGGCUCCUCUGCCUCUCCGGGGAUUCUCCCUUGCUGGCAUUUGUAUCUGAAGUCAUCCUGCAGAUGGAGAAGAAAAGCUAGAAACCUCACAUUCUGGAGAGAUGCUUUUCUCUGCAGAGAAUAAUUCGUGGAGUCCACAGACUAUUCAAGGAGUGAUGCACGGUGCGGAUAGAACCUUCCUAUGCAGCCCUGUCUAUCUGUGGAAAGUGACACCAUGAAUUUAAGGAUAAUCGCUGGAUGACUUACACAAAAGCCUCUGUGAGUAAAGAGGAUGAUUUGUAAGGUGAGGGAAUGAGGACACUUUAUCACGAGCAUCAGUUUUACAUUUUCAAAUGCAGCCUUCAUCAUAGUCCUGGGACAUGAGCAGGUACUACAUAUAUGAACACCUCCGCUUUACAAGCAAGUUGUAUAAACGUGAAACACACACCUUGAGGAGAGACACUCCAUCCGACGAGGUCACAUCAUUUGAGUAGUUGGCAAAUGAAUAGUAAAACCUCAAAACUCUGGCUGAUAUAAAAUAAGUUGUUUUUCUUCCUUAUCUACAUGGUUGUUGCCAAAUCCUCAUGUAGAGGACGGGGUGAUCACUUCCCAUACGUUUUUAUUUUAAA